rnacentral:rRNA from 1 species
UACGAAGGGGGCUAGCGUUGCUCGGAAUGACUGGGCGUAAAGGGCGCGUAGGCGGUGUACACAGUCAGGCGUGAAAUUCCCGGGCUCAACCUGGGGGCUGCGCUUGAUACAUGUACGCUUGAGUUCGGAAGAGGGUCGUGGAAUUCCCAGUGUAGAGGUGAAAUUCGUAGAUAUUGGGAAGAACACCGGGUGGCGAAGGCGGCAACCUGGUCCUUUACUGAC